rnacentral:misc_RNA from 1 species
UGCUAGAUGGGAAUGAUAUCAGGCACCUAGACCUUAAGUGGCUCAGGCAACAAAUUGGACUAGUUAAUCAGGAGCCUGCCCUUUUUGCGACGAGCAUAAGGGAGAACAUUCUCUAUGGAAAAGAUNNAACCCUUGAUGAGAUAGUAAAUUCUGCUAAACUCUCAGAAGCUAUGUCUUUUAUCAACAACCUCCCUGACAGAUUUGAAACUCAGGUUGGUGAGAGGGGAAUACAGCUAUCAGGUGGAC